rnacentral:rRNA from 1 species
CCUACGGGAGGCAGCAGUGGGGGAUAUUGCACAAUGGGGGGAACCCUGAUGCAGCGACGUCGCGUGAGUGAAGAAGUCUUUCGGUAUGUAAAGCUCUAUCAGCAGGGGAGAAAAUGACAGUACCUGACCAAGAAGCCCCGGCUAACUACGUGCCAGCAGCCGCGGUACUACGUAGGGGGCAAGCGUUAUCCGGAUUUACUGGGUGUAAAGGGAGCGUAGACGGGUAUGUAGGUCCGGAGUUAAAGCCCGGGGCCCAACCCCGGGACUGCUGUGGAAACUGGGUACCUGUAGUACAGGAGGGGCAGGCGGAAUUCGUGGUGUAGCGGUGAAAUGCGUAGAUAUCAGGAGGAACACCGGCGGCGAAGGCGGCCUGCUGGACUGAAACUGACGUUGAGGCUCGAAAGCGUGGGGAGCAAACAGGAUUAGAUACCCGAGUAGUC